rnacentral:misc_RNA from 1 species
AUGAAUUGAAUAUGUUAGCGGACCUCUUCGGAGUCCCUAGCAUCAAAUCAUAUCCAUAACACCUGUGAACUGUAAGGCUGUCCUGAAAACGAAAGUGAUUAGAGCGCCUGCCCAUUUUAUACAAACAUUAAAGUAACAAACGUAGUCUUAUUAUAAUCUAAUA